GAGAUACGGGGGUGCCUUCGGGAACUGUGAGACAGGUGCUGCAUGGCUGUCGUCAGCUCGUGUUGUGAAAUGUUGGGUUAAGUCCCGCAACGAGCGCAACCCUUAUCCUUUGUUGCCAGCGGUCCGGCCGGGAACUCAAAGGAGACUGCCAGUGAUAAACUGGAGGAAGGUGGGGAUGACGUCAAGUCAUCAUGGCCCUUACGACCAGGGCUACACACGUGCUACAAUGGCGCAUACAAAGAGAAGCGACCUCGCGAGAGCAAGCGGAUCUCAUAAAGUGCGUCGUAGUCCGGAUUGGAGUCUGCAACUCGACUCCAUGAAGUCGGAAUCGCUAGUAAUCGUGGAUCAGAAUGCCACGGUGAAUACGUUCCCGGGCCUUGUACACACCGCCCGUCACACCAUGGGAGUGGGUUGCAAAAGAAGUAGGUAGCUUAACCUUCGGGAGGGCGCUUACCACUUUGUGAUUCAUGACUGGGGUGAAGUCGUAACAAGGUAACCGUAGGGGAACCUGCGGUUGGAUCACCUCCUUA
rnacentral:rRNA from 1 species